CAAAGAGCAUGGCUUUUGGAGUGAUUCUGAGCUAUGUUUGAAUCCUGACUCCAGCAUUUACUGGCUGUGUGACUUUGAAACCUCUGGAGUGUUCUAACUGGCAAAAACAAUGGUACUUUGCGGUUUUGAGCCUGGGAAACCUAAAAAAAACUUUGGCAAUUGUGUCUCUUCUCACUUCAUGGCUCUGGAAAACAAGAAGACUGCUCAGCUUGACUCCAAGAGAUGGAGUUUCACCAUGCUGCCCAGGCUGGUCUUGAACUCCUGGACUCAAGUGGUCCAACCGCCUCGGCCUCCCAAAGUGCUGAGAUUACAGGCAUGAGCCACCGUACCCAGCCUUGAAUACACUUUGGUGAAUUCUGUUUAUAAAUAAUAUAUGCUCAUUGUGGAAAUUCUGGAAAACACAAAAGCUUAAAGAAGAAAAUGAAGUGCACCAUAAUCAUACUACCCAAAGACACUGAUAUGCAUAAGCAUAAUGCAUAUAUGAUAUAUACACAUAUGUAUUUAUAAAAUUGAUGUAAUAUUAUAUCAUUGUGUAUCCUUCUUUUCAUUUGCUUAUUAUAUCAUGAACAAUUUCUCAUGACAAUCAAUUUUUCAAAAAUAUAGUUUCCAUAGAUGAGUAAGUUUUGUAUUAUGGAUAUAUCAUGAUGUAACUUUUUAAAUUAUCGAUUCCAAUGUUUACUAUUAUAAACAUGAUUAUAACCAUCCUUAUAUAUAAAUAUUUUUCCUAUCUCUACUUAUUUCCUUAUGAUAGACUUAGGAUAGAUUUCUAAAAGUACCAUUAUUAGAUUAUAGAAGGUUUUUAAAUCUCUAGUUCUUUACUGCUGACUUGUACCAAAUUACAUGUCCAACUCUGAGUAAGGAAAUGCCUAUCUGACCAUAUCCUCACCAACAUUUAAAAUUAUCAUUUUUAUUUCUCUAUGAAAUCAUGUCCUUUGACCCCUUUUGUUGCUUUCUAAGCACUUUUUAUUUAUUAAGGAUAUUACUUCAUCUUUUCCUAUUUCUUUUGAUGCUAAAAGUUUUUUCCUACUGAUUACCAAUUUGCCUUUUCAUUAAUGAUUUUUAACAUAUAGAAGUUUAAAUUUGUAUUUAACAAAAUACAUCAACUCCUAUUAUGUAUUAUUUCUUUGCGUUUAAUCUUUUUUUUUUUUUUUUGAAACAAAGUUUCACUCUUGUUGCCCAGGCUGGAGUGCCAUGGCACGAUCUCGGCUCACCACCACCUCCGCCUCCCGGGUUCAAGAGAUUCUCCUGCCUCAGCCUUCUGAGUAGCCGGGAUUACAGGCAUGUGCCACUGUGCCGGCUAAUUUUUGUAUUUUUAGUAGACACGGGGUUUCACCAUGUUGGUCAGGCUGGUCUCGAACUCCCGACCUCACGUGAUCCACCCUCCUCGGCCUCCCAAGUGCUGGGAUUACAGGCAUGAGCCAGCGCGCCUGGCCUGCCUUUAAUCCUUUUUUAAAAAAAUUAUAAAUUUAGGGGGUGCAAGUGUAGUUUUGUUACAUGGAUAUAUUGUGUAGUGGUGAAGUCUGGGCUUUUGGUGUAACCGUCACCCGAAUAGUGUGCAAUGCACUCGUUAAGUAUUGCAUCAUCCCUCCCUUCCUCCUACACCCCCACCCUUCUCAGUCUCCCAUGUCUAUCAUUCCACACUUUAUGUCCAUGAGUACAUAUUAUUUAGCCCCCACUUAUAAGUGAAAACAUGCGGUAUUUGACUUUCUGAGUUAUUUUACUCAAGAUAAUGGCCUCCAACCCAUCCAUGUUGCUGCAAAAGACAUGAUUUCAUUCUUUAAAUAUCCUUUCCUGUCUUGAGAUCAAGGAAAUAUUGCCUACAUCUUCCCCUUAACAUUUUCUUUUUAAUAUUUAACUCUUCAAUACAUUUGGGACUUACUUUUAUGUAUGAUGUGAGGUAAGACACAGCCUUGAUAUUUUCUAAAUAUUUACCCAAAUUUACCCAAGGCUUUCUGUUGAAUAAUUAACAGAAUUAACAGAAUCUCCCCUAUUUGAGUAUGUGAUAUCCUUCAAAUGUCUGGCACAUUUUUUUUUGGCAUUUUCCAAGGAUCAAAUCUUCGAUUUAUUUUUUUAUUCCCACUGUUUUCUAAUUUAUUAUUUUAUCUUUUCUUUAUUGCUUUUCUCCUGAUUUCCUUAGGAUACUUAUUAAGUUUAGUGCUCAAUAAUAUACUUUUAUUCUUUCUGAUUAAAAAAUGAAAGUAUUUAGAAAUGGAACUUUACUUUGUGUAAUGCAUCCAGUAAGUUUUGCUCUGUACUCAUCUUUUAAAAUUGCGUAUUUGAUUUCAAUGGGAAUUUAGAAUAAUAUUCUUAAAAUUGCCUGUAAUUGUUUUUUUUAAAAAAAAGCUUUCAUAAUUUCAUUAUUAAUAUUGCUCUGGGAUCAGAGGAUGUGACCUGUAAAAUGCUAACAUUAAGCUCUAAUUCCUCCAGAUUCUGCUGUCUGUAGGGACGGGUCAUGACUAAGUGACACUUUCACACCAAGGUCAUAAAGCUAUUAGGGGGUUCCUGGUUGAACGGAGAGGUAGGACACACAGAAUUUACUUCAAAAGGAACGGAAAAGUAGGCAACAGGGUUAACAUGGAGCUCAGAGUUCAGAGGGAACCAGGGCCAGCAACAGAGAAGUAAAUGAAGAAGCAGAGGAUCUAAGAAUGAGGAUAUAGCUACAAGGGGUCAAGGGUAAGGCUGCCCAAAUACCGGGUGAGAGGCCAGAGACGGGAAUGCAUAAGAGCGAAAGGACUGGGCAGGCUCAUGUGUUGGUGCUAAGUCUGGUGGGCCACUGAGGUGCUUUCCUGCCCUGGGGCCUCGCCUCUUCAGAGGCCAGGGAAGCAGCACACUGAAGAGUGAAUCAGGAAGCCUAAUAUAAAUUUGACCAUACCUUCUGUGUCCUAGAGCAUACCACUUUUCUCUAUGUUGUAAAGCGAGGAGACUAGACUAGAUCAUUUGUGAGGUCUUUUGUAGCUCUAAAGAUGUGUGAGUCUAUGCUUAUAGCACUGUAGCCUUCAUUCAUGAAAGAGUAGGCAUGUGGAAUCUGGGGAGCGGGGAGGCUGGUCUGCAGAUGGCUGAAUGGUUGGGGGAAGGGUGACUCCUGCUAAGAAAACUUCCCAUUGUCUCAAACUAGACUGCUCAUUUGGUCCCGUGCCAGGCACCCUGGCUCUAAUGACAUGUACUUCUUCAGACUCUCUCCAGUCACCUAUAAUAUCUUGAUUGCCAUUAGAAUUGUAUCUGGCCCAUGAGUGGCCUACAUCCCAUGUUUCAGCCUAGAGCAGAUUUUCCUGGCUAUGGAGGGGAGAUGAUCUAGGAGGCUCUUCCAGAUGAUUCCCAACUCCACAAAAACCACUCUGAUUAAGAAGGGAAAAGUGAGUAGCCAGUGCCUGGUUGUCACUUGGAGAAUGAAUUGAUUGGAUUCAGAAUAGAGAAUCAGGUUUCUAAGCUUGUAACUGCCAGUUAUUAUUGUAUGUUUACACAUCAAGUAGGUAAAUCUGUUUCAUCAUCUGUUAAAAUAGGAUUGAGGAUGCAAAAAGACUUCCUGGAUGAUUUUAAGAAUUAUGUGAGAUAAUGUGUAUGAGCAUGUCUCCAAUGCUUCUGCCAAGGAAUAGCUAAGUAAAGAGCACAGACAUCAAAUGUCAGAGCUGGAAGAGCUCUUACUUAGAUCUAGGAAAAGAACACGUGUUUAACUGCUAAGGAAACUCAGGUCCCGUGAGGAUGUCACCUGCCCCAAGAAGACUUUGAUGGACAUCUAGGAUAUUAGGUAGGACACGGACAGUGUGUACAAACAUGAGUGUGCACACUCCCAAGUGAACAUGGGUUUAUUUGCAUAUGUAUAUGUAUAUGUAAAUGAAAGAGCACAGGAUGCACAGGUUAUAGCUGUUGGAAGAUAUGGAGGGACAGCUGGAGGGGCUUGCCAAAUUGCUUAGAGCUGGCUUUGCUUAAAUGAUCCAAACCCUUUGGUUUUUACUAACACUCUCCUUUAUCCAAAAGAAUAGGGCUGGUUAAAUGAUAAUUAAUAAUAGGCUGAUGAUUCACUUUAGUUAAAUGCACACAUUAUAAGUGCAUGUGCCAUGUGAAUAAUUCACAUUUGAAUAUUUAAAAAUAUGCUCCUAACACAGAAAAGCAUUAAAAUUGGAAGCAUCACACACAAGUACAUUAUUUGACAGUUCUUUUUGACUCUCAACCUUGAAAAUUCAGCUGAUCCUUAAUUAGAUUACCAACUCUUCAACCUGGAUUGAUUGGAAUAACCUUAAUUUGGUUCCACACUAAUCUGAGGGUUGGGGGUACUCCAGAGAGAUACGUAGUCCAACUCCUCUUUUUACAGAUGAGGAGACUGAGGCUGGCAGAGGUUAAGUGACUUAACCAAGGUCACAUCUUUUGUCAGUGGUGGGGCUAGGAUUUAGGAUGUGGAUUUCAGAUUUGCAGGGAUGUCCUUGACAUGCACACUAGCAAACAUUCGAGCAUGGACCCUCUCCUUUUGGAGUGGUAACCCCCUUUUGGUAAUCCUCAAUCCUCCUGGGAUUAUCUCUCAUCCCAGAGCAGUGGAAACUCUUCCUUUCUAGGAAUUGGCACAGCUAGUCAGCAGCCCACCCUCCCCAUGUGUUUAUAAAAUCACCCUGGAUCUCCCCAGUCCUGGAACAUCAAGGAGAAGGGUCUACUCCAUGCCAGGCCUCAUCUUCAACAGCUUGACAUCUGAUUUUAAUCCUCAAAUGAAUACUAAGAUGUAGGUUUUAUAUUCUCCACGUAAGAGAUAAAGAAAACCGAGGUGAGGGAGGUGAAGUGAUUUGAAGCUUGUAAGUGGCAGAGCUGGGAUUCCAGGCUCAGGCUUCCUCUCUCCCUCCCCGACUUCCCCAGGACUGGUGAGUGGCCAUGAGGAAGCCAGCUCCCUCUUUUUAGUAUCAGCUCUGCCUAGUAUCUGCUGCAAACCUGCAACAGUCUUGCCCAGAAUUUCCCAGAGUGUAUUCCCUGGAACGCACGAUCUUCAAAGGGUUGAGAGGUUUAUGUACACAAAAACUGGCAGAUACAUUUAGGAAAAGUGGGUUAAAGAAGUUAAUCAGGGUUCUUAACUGUGCCUUUUCUAUCCUUAAGUAAAUUGAGACUCUUCAAAAUGGAAUUAAAUAUACAGUUUCCUGGUCUCAUUGACAAUGCGACUCUUUUAUCAUUGAGCUUCCUACAAAAUGAAUAUUCCAUGGAACAUACCCAGGGAAAUGCUUGUUUAGCCAUUUAGAAAAUAGCUGUGAUGAAAUCUGCUCCAAAUAAAAACAGUGACAGUGUAUAUUUACACACUCAGAAGCCUUUUCCUGUUGAAUGAGCUGCAAGAAGUCAUCUCCUUCCUCCCAAAGAUGGAGAUCUACUGGGAGGUCCCUAAAGAAGGGGUGUGUGCUAAAUUGCUUGACCAGGUAGAGAGCCUACUGAGGAGCCUGACUCCCAGAGGUCACAUCAACGAAUCCACACUAACAAAAUGGUCUUGAGUUGCUCCUUAUAUGGAGACAGACCGUUUAAUGUAUCCACUAGGAUGAGAUUCUUUCCACCUGCGUAUCCUUUGCUAUCCAACCUCUCUAGAAUGAGGUGGGGUACAAAUAGUUAAGCUAAAAAUAAGAUGAAUUAUCACAUGCAUAUAUUUCCAAAGUACUGUAUGUUCCAUAGAACCAAUAUUCUAUGGGAUGUUAAGAAAAGUGAAACAAUUUUGAAUAAUUUCAGAGAUGUUUCUAUGCCAAGGUAACUUCAUUGUAAAUAACCAAGCAGGGAUAGAACGUGCAGUUUCCCAAAUUUAUUUGAGCACAGAACUCUUCUUUCAGGUCAACUGCUCCACAGGACACAAGUUUAGACAACAGUAGUCUAAGGUGUAACUUUAAAGUAAAUAAGGCCUUUUUCUUUUGCUUUUUUCUUUUCUUUCUCUCUAUUUUUGUUUAAGCAAGGAGAUCAGAGCUUACACAUAUAAAUGAGAGUUGCAACCUAGGGAAACUAGCUGCUCUUGCCAGCAAUGCGGCCACUCUUUCAAAGGGCUUUUGAAACUCCUUUCAGUCAUUGUCUCCAGGAAUUAGGGCACAUUCUCCUGAAAACUCUUGUUAAUGGCAAAGGUUGACCCUUUGAGAGGGGAUUUGAUUUUGGGAACAAAACUAUGCAAAGUGAAGCAUGAUGAUUCAUGUUCAGGAGGAAGUAGACAGAAGUGGUUAAAAGUGAGGACAUGGGUUUAAACUCCAACUCUGCUACUUAAUAGGGGCGUGACAUUGAGGAGGUUAUCUUUUAGGACUCAGCGCUUCAUUUGCAAAAUGGAGAUAAUUAUAUCUACCUCAAAAGGUUACCAUGAUGAUGACAUUAAAAAUGAGAUCUAUAGGCCGGGCGUGGUGGCUCACGCCUGUAAUCCCAGCACUUCGGGAGGCCGAGGCGGGAGGAUCACGAGGUCAGUAAAUCGAGACCAUCCUGGCUAACACGGUGAAACCCCGUCUCUACUAAAAAAAUACAAAAAAAUUAGCCGGGCGUGGUGGCGGGCGCCUGUAGUCCCAGCUACUCGGGAGGCUGAGGCAGGAGAAUGGCGUGAACCCGGGAGGCGGAGCUUGCAGUGAGCCGAGAUCGCGCCACUGCACUCCAGCCUGGGGGACAGAGCGAGACUCCGUCUCAAAAAAAAAAGAGAUCUAUAAAAUGCUUAGCACCAAGCAAUACAAAAAUAACUAAUGUCUCUAAUAAAACCUUGCCUGGUUUUAUUGCGUGGCUUGUAAACUGGCAAUGAAGACAAUUCUCAAAGGAGGGUCCAGAAAUCUUUAGCCAUGGAAGCACAGUUGGGCAAAAUCUAUGGCCCU